rnacentral:rRNA from 1 species
GACAGAGGGUGCAAACGUUGUUCGGAAUUACUGGGCGUAAAGCGCGUGUAGGCUGCUUCGAAAGUCGGAUGUGAAAGCCCUGGGCUCAACCUAGGAAGUGCAUUCGAAACUUCGAAGCUGGAGUCCUGGAGAGGAAGGCGGAAUUCUCGGUGUAGAGGUGAAAUUCGUAGAUAUCGAGAGGAACACCGGUGGCGAAGGCGGCCUUCUGGACAGUAACUGACGCUGAGGAGCGAAAGCGUGGGGAGCGAACAGG